rnacentral:rRNA from 1 species
UAGUCCACACUGUAAACGAUGAGUGCUAGGUGUUGGGGCGUAAAGCUUCAGUAUCUGAGCUAACGCAUUAAGCACUCCGCCUGAGUAGUACGAUCGCAAGAUUAAAACUCAAAGGAAUUGACGGGGACCCGCACAAGCGGUGGAGCAUGUGGUUUAAUUCGACGAUCCGCGAAGAACCUUACCAGGGCUUGACAUUAUACUUGAGAUGCUAGAGAUAGCGUCGUCAUUUAGUUGGAGUAUAACAGGUGCUGCAUGGCUGUCGUCAGCUCGUGUCGUGAGAUGUUGGGUUAAGUCCCGCAACGAGCGCAACCCUCACCCUUAGUUGCUAGCAGGUUAAGCUGAGAACUCUAGGGGAACUGCUGGUGUUAAGCCAGAGGAAGGUGGGGAUGACGUCAAGUCCUCAUGGCCCUUAUGCCCUGGGCUACACAUGUGCUACAAUGGCAGUGACAGAGAGAAGCAAAAACCGCGAGGUGGAGCAAAUCUU